rnacentral:rRNA from 1 species
UAGUGAAUAUUAGAAAUGGGCGAAAGCCUGAACUAGCAACACCGCGUGUGCGAAGAAGGCCUUCGGGUUGUAAAGCACUUUUUGAGAGGAUGAGGAAGGACGGUACUCUCAGAAUAAGUCUCGGCUAACUACGUGCCAGCAGCCGCGGUAACACGUAGGAGGCAAACGUUAUCCGGAUUUACUGGGCGUAAAGCGCGUGUAGGUGGUUUGGUAAGUAGAGCGUGAAAGCUCCUGGCUCAACUGGGAGAGGUCGUUCGAAACUGCCGGACUUGAGGAUGGCAGAGGGAGGUGGAAUUCCGGGUGUAGCGGUGGAAUGCGCAGAUAUCCGGAGGAACACCAGUGGCGAAGGCGGCCUCCUGGACCACUCCUGACACUCAGACGCGAAAGCGAGGGUAGCAAACA